UACGGAGGGUGCAAGCGUUGUCCGGAAUCACUGGGCGUAAAGGGCGCGUAGGCGGCCGUGUAAGUCACUUGUGAAAUCCCGGGGCUCAACUCCGGGGCUGCAGGUGAGACUGCAUGGCUAGAGCACGGUAGAGGCGAGUGGAAUUCCUGGUGUAGCGGUGAAAUGCGCAGAUAUCAGGAGGAACACCGGUGGCGAAGGCGGGUCUCUGGGCCGAUACUGACGCUGAGGAGCGAAAGCGUGGGGAGCGAACAGG
rnacentral:rRNA from 1 species